rnacentral:rRNA from 1 species
GGAAUAUUGGACAAUGGGGGAAACCCUGAUCCAGCAACGCCGCGUGAGGGAAGAAGGCCUUCGGGUUGUAAACCUCUGUCGAAGGGGACGAAACCUUCCAUGGCUAAUAUCCAUGGGAAUUGACGGUACCCUUAGAGGAAGCACAGGCUAACUCCGUGCCAUCAGCCGCGGUAAUUCGGAGGUGUCAAGCGUUGUUCGGAUUUACUGGGCGUAAAGCGUGUCUAGGUGGAUCUGUAUGUCAGGUGUGAAAGCCCCCGGCUUAACUGGGGAUGGUCGCCUGAAACUGCAGACCUUGAGUUCCGGGGGGGUGAGUGGAAUUCCCAGUGUAGAGGUGAAAUUCGUAGAGAUUGGGAGGAACACCGGAGGCGAAAGCGAUUCACUAACCGGAUACUGACACUCAAGCACGAAAGCGCGGGGAGCAAAC